GUUUGAUCAUGGCUCAGAUUGAACGCUGGCGGCAGGCCUAACACAUGCAAGUCGAACGGUAACAGGAAGCAGCUUGCUGCUUCGCUGACGAGUGGCGGACGGGUGAGUAAUGUCUGGGAAACUGCCUGAUGGAGGGGGAUAACUACUGGAAACGGUGGCUAAUACCGCAUAACGUCGCAAGACCAAAGAGGGGGACCUUCGGGCCUCUUGCCAUCAGAUGUGCCCAGAUGGGAUUAGCUAGUUGGUGAGGUAACGGCUCACCAAGGCGACGAUCCCUAGCUGGUCUGAGAGGAUGACCAGCCACACUGGAACUGAGACACGGUCCAGACUCCUACGGGAGGCAGCAGUGGGGAAUAUUGCACAAUGGGCGCAAGCCUGAUGCAGCCAUGCCGCGUGUAUGAAGAAGGCCUUCGGGUUGUAAAGUACUUUCAGCGGGGAGGAAGGUGUUGUGGUUAAUAACCGCAGCAAUUGACGUUACCCGCAGAAGAAGCACCGGCUAACUCCGUGCCAGCAGCCGCGGUAAUACGGAGGGUGCAAGCGUUAAUCGGAAUUACUGGGCGUAAAGCGCACGCAGGCGGUCUGUCAAGUCGGAUGUGAAAUCCCCGGGCUCAACCUGGGAACUGCAUUCGAAACUGGCAGGCUUGAGUCUUGUAG
rnacentral:rRNA from 1 species